GAUGAACGCUGGCGGCGUGCCUAAUACAUGCAAGUCGAGCGAACGGACGAGAAGCUUGCUUUUCUGAUGUUAGCGGCGGACGGGUGAGUAACACGUGGAUAACCUACCUAUAAGACUGGGAUAACUUCGGGAAACCGGAGCUAAUACCGGAUAAUAUUUUGAACCGCAUGGUUCAAAAGUGAAAGACGGUCUUGCUGUCACUUAUAGAUGGAUCCGCGCUGCAUUAGCUAGUUGGUAAGGUAACGGCUUACCAAGGCAACGAUGCAUAGCCGACCUGAGAGGGUGAUCGGCCACACUGGAGCUGAGACACGGUCCAGACUCCUACGGGAGGCAGCAGUAGGGAAUCUUCCGCAAUGGGCGAAAGCCUGACGGAGCAACGCCGCGUGAGUGAUGAAGGUCUUCGGAUCGUAAAACUCUGUUAUUAGGGAAGAACAUAUGUGUAAGUAACUGUGCACAUCUUGACGGUACCUAAUCAGAAAGCCACGGCUAACUACGUG
rnacentral:rRNA from 1 species